rnacentral:rRNA from 1 species
AUGGAGAAGGAACCGGGAGGACCUCACCAGAGGGAGAUUGUAGCCAUAGCUGUAGCUCAACCACACAACGGCUGUGGUGUGACCAUCACCACAUCCAGGAGAGGGUCUGGAGGCCGCCGGAGCACAACCACGACGACCAGGGCGAGCGCCGGGCACGGUGGCGCCACCCCGAGGGCAUCACCGCACGGAGACGCCACCCCAGGGGCACCACCGCAUCACGGUGAGCCGCUGGAGGUGCCGGAUGAAACCCCGCGACGACCGAAGGGCCGUCGGCGACAAGACCCGCCUCCACCACCGGAACCCUAG